GUGCUCACUUCAGCAGCACAUAUACUGAAAUUGGAACGAUACAGAGAAGAUUAGCAUGGCCCCUGUGCAAGGAUGACAUGCAAAUUCAUGAAGUGUUCCAUUGAAAA
ensembl:snRNA U6 U6 spliceosomal RNA